rnacentral:rRNA from 1 species
UACGGAGGGUGCAAGCGUUGUCCGGAUUUAUUGGGUUUAAAGGGUGCGUAGGCGGCCCGUUAAGUCAGUGGUGAAAUCCCAGGGCUCAACCCUGGAACUGCCAUUGAUACUGACGGGCUUGAGUUCGGUUAAGGCGGGCGGAACUGGUGGUGUAGCGGUGAAAUGCAUAGAUAUCUGGAGGAACACCGGUGGCGAAGGCGGCAUCCUGGACCGGUAUUGACGCUGAGGCGCGAAAGCCAGGGGAGCAAACGGG